rnacentral:tRNA from 1 species
UGAUAUGUUUUAAAAAAUUUACAAUUUUUUCUCCCGAAUUUGGCAUAUCAU